UGGGGAAUAUUGGACAAUGGGCGCAAGCCUGAUCCAGCCAUGCCGCGUGAGUGAUGAAGGCCCUAGGGUUGUAAAGCUCUUUCACCGGUGAAGAUAAUGACGGUAACCGGAGAAGAAGCCCCGGCUAACUUCGUGCCAGCAGCCGCGGUAAUACGAAGGGGGCUAGCGUUGUUCGGAUUUACUGGGCGUAAAGCGCACGUAGGCGGACUAUUAAGUCAGGGGUGAAAUCCCGGGGCUCAACCCCGGAACUGCCUUUGAUACUGGUAGUCUUGAGUUCGAGAGAGGUGAGUGGAAUUCCGAGUGUAGAGGUGAAAUUCGUAGAUAUUCGGAGAAACACCAGUGGCGAAGGCGGCUCACUGGCUCGAUACUGACGCUGAGGUGCGAAAGCGUGGGGAGCAAACAGG
rnacentral:rRNA from 1 species